rnacentral:rRNA from 1 species
CCAGCAGCCGCGGUAAUUCCAGCUCCAAUAGCGUAUAUUUAAGUUGUUGCAGUUAAAAAGCUCGUAGUUGGAUUUCGGGCGGGGCCUGCCGGUCCGCCUUUCGGUGUGCACUGGCAGGGUCCGCCUUGCUGCCGGGGACGGGUUCCUGGCUUUACUGUCUGGGACUCGGAGUCGGCGUGGUUACUUUGAGUAAAUUAGAGUGUUCAAAGCAGGCUUACGCUCUGAAUACAUUAGCAUGGAAUAACGCGAUAGGACUCUGGCCUAUCUUGUUGGUCUGUGGGACCGGAGUAAUGAUUAAGAGGGACAGUCGGGGGCAUUCGUAUUUCAUUGUCAGAGGUGAAAUUCUUGGAUUUAUGAAAGACGAACUACUGCGAAAGCAUUUGCCAAGGAUGUUUUCAUUAAUCAAGAACGAAAGU